ACUACACCGGGUAUCUAAUCUGUUUGCUCCCCACGCUUUCGUGCAUGAGCGUCAGUGUUAUCAGGAGGCUGCCUUCGCCAUCGGUGUUCCCUCGCAUAUCCUACGCAUUUCACUGCUACGCCGAAUUCCACCUCUCUGACACCUAGCUCGGUAGUUAAAAGUAAGUUCAAAAGUUAAGCUCUGGGAUUUCACAUCUUUCUUUCCGAACCGCCUGCGCACGCUUUGCGCCCAAAGUAAUUCCGAUUAACGCUUUUACGUAUUACCGCGGCUGCACAGCACGUAGUUAAUAGUGUAUUCUAUGAUGCCGAUGAUUUUUGAGGUAUUAUCCCGUGCAAUUUACCCCUCACUGCCAAAAGUGCUUUACAACCAGAAGGCCUUCAUCACACGCGAGAUGGCUGGAUCGGAGCUUCCCCAUUGUCCGAAAUUCCCCACUGCUGCCUCCGUA
rnacentral:misc_RNA from 1 species